rnacentral:rRNA from 1 species
CCUACGGGAGGCAGCAGUGGGGAAUAUUGGGCAAUGGACGCAAGUCUGAUCCAGCAACGCCGCGUGAAGGAAGAAGGCUUUCGGGUUGUAAACCUCUGUUAAGGGGGAAGAGCAGAAGACGGUAUCCCUUGAAUAAGCCACGGCUAACUACGUGCCAGCAGCCGCGGUAAUACGUAGGUGGCAAGCGUUGUCCGGAUUUACUGGGUGUAAAGGGCGUGCAGCCGGAGGGACAAGUCGGAUGUGAAACCCGGAGGCGCAACCGGCGAACUGCAUUUGAAACUGUGUCCCUUGAGUGUCGGAGAGGUCAGCGGAAUUCCUAGUGUAGCGGUGAAAUGCGUAGAUAUUAGGAAGAACACCAGUGGCGAAGGCGGAUGACUGGACGGCAACUGACGGUGAGGCGCGAAAGCGUGGGGAGCAAACAGGAUUAGAUACCCGUGUAGUC